UAUGGCCAUAUCAUGAUAAAACACCUGUUCCCGUACGAUCACCGAAGUUACGCAACGUCGUGUCUGGUUCUUACCUAGACGUGUGACCUCUUGGUAAUACCAGGUGUAGUAA